GGCUCAGAGGGUAAAGCGUCUGCCUACAAUGCAGGAGACCCAGGUUCGAUCCCUGG
rnacentral:tRNA from 1 species